rnacentral:rRNA from 1 species
CCUACGGGAGGCUGCAGUGAGGAAUAUUGGUCAAUGGGCGCGAGCCUGAACCAGCCAAGUCGCGUGAGGGAGGACGGCCCUACGGGUUGUAAACCUCUUUUGCCGGGGAGCAACGGGCGUCACGUGUGGCGCCACUGAGAGUACCCGGAGAAAAAGCAUCGGCUAACUCCGUGCCAGCAGCCGCGGAAAUACGGAGGAUGCGAGCGUGAUCCGGAUUUAUUGGGGUGAAGGGGUGCGUUGGAGGAUCUUUAAGUCAGUGGUAAAAUUGAGGGGCUCAACCCCUUCCCGCCAUUGAAACUGGCGCUCUUGAGUGGAAGAGAAGUAUGCGGAAUGCGUGGUGUAGCGGUGAAAUGCAUAGAUAUCACGCAGAACCCCGAUUGCGAAGGCAGCAUGCCGGCUUCCGACUGACGCUGAAGCACGAAAGCGUGGGGAUCGAACAGGAUUAGAUACCCCAGUAGUC